rnacentral:rRNA from 1 species
GGAUUAGAUACCCUGGUAGUCCACGCUGUAAACGAUGGAUGCUAGAUGUUGGCCAGAUUGCUGGUCAGUGUCGGCGCUUACGCAAUAAGCAUCCCGCCUGGGGAGUACGGUCGCAAGAUUAAAACUCAAAGAAAUUGACGGGGACCCGCACAAGCGGUGGAGUAUGUGGUUUAAUUCGAAGCUACGCGAAGAACCUUACCAGCUCUUGACAUGGUGGUCAUACCUUCCGUAAUGGGAAGGGUCGGUUCGGCCGGACCACACACAGGUGCUGCAUGGCUGUCGUCAGCUCGUGCUG